rnacentral:lncRNA from 1 species
GCUUUCUUUGGUAUGUAUGUUUUAAUUAUUGUUAUGUGUAUGAUUUUAAAACUUGUUAAUGUCGUCUUCUUUUUUAAAACAUCAUGCCAAUAAUUGGGCCUUCACAAAAAGAAUUGUUUCAACAAAUAAGAAAAAAUAGAGUGGAAGAAGUGAAAAAAGAGAAAAAGAAAGUUAUUGUUGCUAUUACUCAAGGUACUGUUGAACCAUCCUCUACCGGUAAGACAACAACUUAAGUGAGAGAUCUUAGGCCUCCCCCUAAUAAUAAGAAGAAGAACAAAUGUAAAGAGAAAGUGAUGACAUAUCCCCAAAAAUUAACUCUUAUGAUGGAAUGCAUAGUCUUUCAAACAUAUACAUCCAACACAAGACAAAUAAAAGCUUCGAAGAUGCUCUUACUCUUCAAGACCUUGAUCAUUCAUUUGAUUUAAGGUGUAUCAUUGUUGGGAUCUAUAUUCUUCAUUUACUCACUAUUAUUACAUGUCUUCUAACUUAUGUUAUAAAAUGGGUAUUUGACCUUGGUGGAGAAGCACACAAAAAAUAGAGUGGAAGAAGUGAAAAAAGAGAAAAAGAAAUUUAUUGUUGCUAUUACUCAAGGUACUGUUGAACCAUCCUCUGUCGGUAAGACAACAACUUAAGUGAGAGAUCUUAGGCCUUCCCCUAAUAGUAAGAAGAAGAACAAAUGUAAAGAGAAAAUGAUGACAUAUCCCUAAAAAAUUAACUCU